rnacentral:rRNA from 1 species
AGCGAACGCUGGCGGCAUGCCUAACACAUGCAAGUCGAACGAGACCUUCGGGUCUAGUGGCGCACGGGUGCGUAACGCGGGGGAACCUGCCCUUAGGUUCGGAAUAACUCCCCGAAAGGGGUGCUAAUACCGGAUAAUGUCUUCGGACCAAAGAUUUAUCGCCUUUGGAUGGGCCCGCGUUGGAUUAGCUAGUUGGUAGGGUAAAAGCCUACCAAGGCGACGAUCCAUAGCUGGUCUGAGAGGAUGAUCAGCCACACUGGGACUGAGACACGGCCCAGACUCCUACGGGAGGCAGCAGUGGGGAAUAUUGGACAAUGGGCGAAAGCCUGAUCCAGCAAUGCCGCGUGAGUGAUGAAGGCCUUAGGGUUGUAAAGCUCUUUUACCCGGGAUGAUAAUGACAGUACCGGGAGAAUAAGCUCCGGCUAACUCCGUG